rnacentral:rRNA from 1 species
AGCGAACGCUGGCGGCAGGCCUAACACAUGCAAGUCGAACGGAUCCUUCGGGAUUAGUGGCGGACGGGUGAGUAACACGUGGGAACGUGCCCUUUGGUUCGGAACAACUCAGGGAAACUUGAACUAAUACCGGAUGUGCCCUUCGGGGGAAAGAUUUAUCGCCAUUGGAGCGGCCCGCGUAGGAUUAGCUAGUUGGUGGGGUAAUGGCCCACCAAGGCUCCGAUCCUUAGCUGGUCUGAGAGGAUGAUCAGCCACACUGGGACUGAGACACGGCCCAGACUCCUACGGGAGGCAGCAGUGGGGAAUCUUGCGCAAUGGGCGAAAGCCUGACGCAGCCAUGCCGCGUGAAUGAUGAAGGUCUUAGGAUUGUAAAAUUCUUUCACCGGGGACGAUAAUGACGGUACCCGGAGAAGAAGCCCCGGCUAACUUCGUGCCAGCCACCGCCGUAACAC